CUUUUUAAAAACAUAAUCAAUAAUUUAUUAUGUUGAUUUUGAUUUAAUAGUUAUGAACCGAUAAAUAUCUAUAAGAUACAUGGUUAAUAUAUAAGGGAUCUUAACCAAACUGAUCAUAUUUCUAAAUGAACCGUAUCGAACCGGACAAAAUUUAAAUUGGUUCGUUUUCGAGAUUUUAAGUGGUUGGGUUUGGUUUAUAUAUUAUUAUAUCACAACAACCUAACACACUCGCUCCCUCCGCCCCCGUCGAAGAAAAAGAAGAAGCAGUUCAAGAAAGCUUUCGGACUUUGGAACAACUAACUGAAUAUGUGUCUAAAGCUUGGCCGUGAUUCAUGCGUUGUGAAUCUUUCUCCUAAUUUUAGUCUUGAGAGUUUGAGGUUCCUUGAGAGCUUGCAAAUGGAGUAUUGUUCAAGUUGCAAUGCGAGAUAACCAGUUCCAGCUAGUGGAACAAGACGAUCUACUUAUCUUAAUAUAUAUAGUUUCACUACAAAAUCACCUUUGUAUAUGUUCAUGUUACUGACUGCUAUUGUGUGAGUUUAUGAAAAAUCAAAUAUGAUUUUGUUA